rnacentral:antisense_RNA from 1 species
CAAAGACCACCUCUACAUUCUCGGUGCUUCUCCGGAGUAUCUCAGGGAAGUGCUGCUUGUACUUUCUGUUGAUAACCUUCAGCAUGGCUUCCCUCGUAAUGGGCUCUUUCCUUAUAUACUUGUUGAGCAGGAACUGCACCAAUUCGCCCGUCUUCGUGUUCAGAAGAUCUCUUCCUGUGCUCUCAGAGGAGGACGGGCCAUGGAAGGAGUUGGGACUUUCCCCCUUUUGACCCUUGGCACCUUCAUCAGAACUUAGCCUGGGACUCCUUUCUCCGCUGACCUGGGGCAGCCAGUCUUGCAACCAAAGCCCUCUACUGAAACGCUCCGUGCAGCCCUGUCUACUGAGGGCUCAGGAUCUUCACCUUGCUACUUGACCAGUCCUGGGACUCCAUCCUCAGCUCACUACAGGCAACACCCUUCAAAGCAAGAUCCUUGCUUCAAUGGGACCUCAGAUUUGGACAUUCAGGUUUCUGGGGCUCCACUAUGCACAGCUGGGGCUUCCCCCACCAGACCAAGAUUCUCCUUUCCCUGAGACCCUCCAGGCCGAAAUGACAGUCACCUCAACCUGACAGCUCUUCCUGAGCUUCCCAAGUCACAGGAGAGGUGGGAUUUGGGAAGCAAUGCUAAGCAGUGGAAUGGACAUCGACAUAGAGAGAUCAGCUCCACACUUAUACUCUGCCACUCAACUUCCCCAUGUGACUUGAGGAUCACUCUGACUCCAAAACAUAGCAAGCUCGCGGAACAUCAUUCAUGCAAAGUAUUCCAAGGAGCCCCUUGAAGCAACAGAAUGGAUUUCUCUUCUAUGGUGGAAUGGCACCCUGGAUGAUUAAAACCGUAGCAGCAAACAAAACCUCCAUCAAGUAAGAAUUCAGAGUGUGAGAUAUCACGCACAGCCACGCGUGGAUCUUUAUAUACGUGUCAAUGUGUUUGAUUGUAUUUUUGCUUUAAAAGUAUGUAUUGAGCAUUUCUUCUAGGUCCUCAGUAACAUCUUUUUUUAAAAAAAAUAAAUGCUUAGGGAAUUGUUUUAUAUUAAA